CUUUUUAAUAGAAAUCACCACUGCUAAUCCAAUUGACAAGAGAACGUGUCUGAGAUUAGAAAUUAACUGGUAGUAUGCAAGACUGUAAUUACUAUUGAAAUAUGAAUCUUUUUGAAGACACUGAUGUAUUCUUGAAGAUGCUGUUUGUUGUACAUUUUAUUGCCUUUUUACUUCACUUUUUGUCCAUUUUGAAGUAGCAGUAUAUAUCAUGAGGCUGUAAUUUUAGACACAACUCCUGUUAAUACGGUUAUGUUUGGUUUUACAGUACUUUACUUUUUGUCCAUUUUGAAGGAGCAGUAUACAUCAUGAGGCUGUAAUUUCAGACACAACUCUUUGUAAUUUAGUCCUACAGUCAUCUUCUGUGUUAUCUUCUGUCUGUAUAAUCAGUGCUUUCUUUCAACCCUUAAUUUAGAAUGCUGGAGAAACAGGUAACUGCCAAAAUCAAGGAAACACCCAUAUAAAGUGUCUUCAUAGGGUGGCGUUGGGCCACCACGAGCCAGAACAGCUUCAAUGCACCUUGGCAUAGAUUCUACAAGUGCUUGGAAUAAUUUGGUGUUUUGUUGAUGGUGGUGGAAAACGCUGUCUCAGGCUCCGCUCCAGAAUCUCCCAUAAGUGUUCGAUUGGGUUGAGAAUUGGUGACUGAGACGGCCAUGGCAUAUGGUUUACAGCGUUUUCAUGCUCAUCAAACCAUUCAGUGACCACUCGUGUCCUGUGGAUGGGGACAUUGUCAUCCUAUGGGGGCAUAGCCAUGGUAGCCAAAAUAAUGGCCUGCCCAACAUUUUUAAACAUGACCCUAAGCAUGAUGGGAUGUUAAUUCCUUUAUUAACUCAGGAACCACACCUGUGUGGAAAUACCUGCUUUAAUAUAUACUUUGCAUCCCUCAUUUACUCAAGUGUUGCCAUUAGUUUGUCAGUUACCUGUAUGUUUCAGGGCCACGGAAAAUACUAAUAACAGUUUCCCAUGUAGAGUAGGACGACAAAGGAAUGGAGUGGUUCAGUCCCAUUCUGUUGUCUGCAUCAGUUGAAAUAUAUUAGAUACAUAACCAUAGAUAUAAAGGUAUACUUUAGACAGACUGGUCAGAUGAUGACGCUUGCUCUGUCUCUGUUGAGGCAGGGACUAAUUUAGAACCAUAUGGGGCAGUGAGAGAUGAGCUGAACAUCGCUGUUGUUGUUUGUUGUUGUUUCCUGCAGAUCCUGAAUGCUGAGCCAGUCACUGUAGCUUCCUGUCUCACUGUAGCCCUUAAACCGUCCCUAAACUCGCUUCUCUCGCUCUACUGUAGCCUACAUCUAUGUUUACUGCUCAUCCAUUUCCUUUAGGACUUUUAGCGUUGUUUUCCGUUUUUUAUUUAUUUUAUUUUUUAUUUAUUUUUUGUAUAUUCGCCCUUUUCUACUGUAUAGAUUUUGUGUGCAAUUUCUCUUCCUUUUGGGGCUUUUAAAUGUGUAUAUAAUUCAUUUGUUUGACUGUAUAGAGCGAUGGUUAUCUGCGCUGUGUCUGGUUUUCCCUGAGGGUAAUAAUCUCCAGAAAUGGGCCCAAUCGGUUAAGGCAUUUAUCUGAAUCAGCCACGUCACGUCAUCCAUUCAGCAGAUAGCAGUAGAAUCUCAGUGUUCGUUCUGGAAAAAUCACAGGUCAGUUUAGCUACAGUUGAAGUCGGAGGUUUACAUGCACAUAGGUUGGAGUCAUUGAAACUCAUUUUUCAACCACUCCACAAAUGUCUUGUUAACAAACUGUAGUUUUGGCAAGUCGGUUAGGACAUCUACUUUGUGCAUGACACAAGUAAUUUUUCCAACAAUUGUUUACAGACAGAUUAUUUCACUUAUAAUUUACUGUAUCACAAUUUCAGUGGGUCAGAAGUUUACAUACACUACGUUGACUGUGCCUUUAAACAGCUUGGAAAAUUCCAGAAAAUGUAAUGCUGUAGAAGCUUCUGAUAGGCUAAUUGACAUCAUUUGAGUCAAUUGGAGGUGUACCUGUGGAUGUAUUUCAAGGCCUACCUUCAAACUUAGUGCCUCUUUGCCAUCAUGGGAAAAUCAAAAGAAAUCAGCCAAGACCUCAGAAAAAUAUUGUAGACCUCCACAAGUCUGGUUCAUCCUUGGGAGCAAUUUCCAAAUGCCUGAAGGUAAUACGUUCAUCUGUACAAACAAUAUUAAAUGUAUUUGGCUAAGGUGUAUGUAAACUUCCAACUUCAACUGUACAUAACUACAGUAUGACCAUUUUCUGGUCAAUGGUUUGGAGCUGGAUCAGUACCCUGCAGAUAAUUUGCCACAUUUCUUUUAGUCACUGGGCAUUGGUUAUGGGUUCAAUCCUUUUUGUCUACUUUAGCAUUCUUUUGUAAACAACAUGCACUGGAAAGUACUUUGUGUCUGUAGAUCUGAUGCGUCCCUGAGCAAUCCCUGUGAUAUUGUACAGUGUACUCUGGUUCGUUCUUUCAAAUCUGUCGUGUGCUCAACUAGCUGUGUGUCUGUAGUAUAGCAGACCAUUGACGAUGCGAUAACCUGCAUAGAACAGUCUUUGAUUACUUUGAAAGAGAAACAAGCCACCAUGGUGCCCAGAAAUAAUUUUUCAGAGGGGGUUCUGAAGCUGUGUACUGGAGAUAGACAUAUAUUUGCCAUAUCUCAGCACUGUGCAAAGCUACAGGAACUCGAUACCGUGAGUUUUGUAUAUUAUGGAAAAACCGUCAGUGUCUUGAUUUUUUUUGUCCGUUUCCUUUAAUGUAUAUUUUUAUGAGACCAUUUCUUACUCAUUGUCUUUCCUAACUUUUUUAAUGUCUUUUCAUAUGAAGGGUCAGUUUUUAUAGGGACAGUUUUGAGGCUUUUAAAUCAUGUUUAAUACCUGUUAGAUCUUUUUAACAAGUCCAAUGAGAUCAAAGGCUUUUUUGUAUAAAAAUGAGCUUAAAACAUUUCUUUUGUGACUGGUUCUGGUGUAAACAUGUUUUCAAUGAUACUGUCAAAACUGAAACAUUUAUUUCAAUGUUGUGCUCCAUAUGAUCUCUGAGGUUAAAUCAUCACCAAGAAACAUUGUCCUUUUUUAGGAACCGAUGAACUGUACAUGUAUUACUGACACCUGGAAAAUGCCUUUAACUGCUCAGUUUCAACUAAGUCUUGAUUAUCACACACUCUCUGUACUCCCAAGAAAAGAGACCCAGCGAAAAUGUAGCAUUUUUGUGAACAUUGACUGUGUGUUUUCAAGACUGUACUGUGCACUCAUUUAUUUUUUUGUGUUUUAUUUUCGUUGAUACAUUAUGGAAGUAAGGACAAUUUGUUAUGUAGUGCAAUAUGCUGUACAUAUAAG
rnacentral:lncRNA from 1 species